GAUCAUUGGCUCAGGAUGAACGCUAGCUACAGGCUUAACACAUGCAAGUCGAGGGGCAGCAUUUUAGUUUGCUUGCAAACUAAAGAUGGCGACCGGCGCACGGGUGAGUAACACGUAUCCAACCUGCCGAUAACUCGGGGAUAGCCUUUCGAAAGAAAGAUUAAUAUCCGAUAGUAUAUUUUCUCCGCAUGGCGAGAAUAUUAAAGAAUUUCGGUUAUCGAUGGGGAUGCGUUCCAUUAGUUUGUUGGG
rnacentral:rRNA from 1 species